GAUGAACGCUGGCGGCGUGCCUAAUACAUGCAAGUCGAGCGAACGGACGAGAAGCUUGCUUCUCUGAUGUUAGCGGCGGACGGGUGAGUAACACGUGGAUAACCUACCUAUAAGACUGGGAUAACUUCGGGAAACCGGAGCUAAUACCGGAUAAUAUUUUGAACCGCAUGGUUCAAAAGUGAAAGACGGUCUUGCUGUCACUUAUAGAUGGAUCCGCGCUGCAUUAGCUAGUUGGUAAGGUAACGGCUUACCAAGGCAACGAUGCAUAGCCGACCUGAGAGGGUGAUCGGCCACACUGGAACUGAGACACGGUCCAGACUCCUACGGGAGGCAGCAGUAGGGAAUCUUCCACAAUGGGCGAAAGCCUGACGGAGCAACGCCGCGUGAGUGAUGAAGGUCUUCGGAUCGUAAAACUCUGUUAUUAGGGAAGAACAUAUGUGUAAGUAACUGUGCACAUCUUGACGGUACCUAAUCAGAAAGCCACGGCUAACUACGUGCCAGCAGCCGCGGUAAUACGUAGGUGGCAAGCGUUAUCCGGAAUUAUUGGGCGUAAAGCGCGCGUAGGCGGUUUUUUAAGUCUGAUGUGAAAGCCCACGGCUCAACCGUGGAGGGUCAUUGGAAACUGGAAAACUUGAGUGCAGAAGAGGAAAGUGGAAUUCCAUGUGUAGCGGUGAAAUGCGCAGAGAUAUGGAGGAACACCAGUGGCGAAGGCGACUUUCUGGUCUGUAACUGACGCUGAUGUGCGAAAGCGUGGGGAUCAAACAGGAUUAGAUACCCUGGUAGUCCACGCCGUAAACGAUGAGUGCUAAGUGUUAGGGGGUUUCCGCCCCUUAGUGCUGCAGCUAACGCAUUAAGCACUCCGCCUGGGGAGUACGACCGCAAGGUUGAAACUCAAAGGAAUUGACGGGGACCCGCACAAGCGGUGGAGCAUGUGGUUUAAUUCGAAGCAACGCGAAGAACCUUACCAAAUCUUGACAUCCUUUGACAACUCUAGAGAUAGAGCUUUCCCCUUCGGGGGACAAAGUGACAGGUGGUGCAUGGUUGUCGUCAGCUCGUGUCGUGAGAUGUUGGGUUAAGUCCCGCAACGAGCGCAACCCUUAAGCUUAGUUGCCAUCAUUAAGUUGGGCACUCUAAGUUGACUGCCGGUGACAAACCGGAGGAAGGUGGGGAUGACGUCAAAUCAUCAUGCCCCUUAUGAUUUGGGCUACACACGUGCUACAAUGGACAAUACAAAGGGCAGCGAAACCGCGAGGUCAAGCAAAUCCCAUAAAGUUGUUCUCAGUUCGGAUUGUAGUCUGCAACUCGACUACAUGAAGCUGGAAUCGCUAGUAAUCGUAGAUCAGCAUGCUACGGUGAAUACGUUCCCGGGUCU
rnacentral:rRNA from 1 species